CCGUUCGGGCUUCUGCCCGGUUGUUAUGGCAACGUGCUGAUACUAUGGAGGGCUUCAGAGUUUUGGUCCGCAAUUGAGCCCGUACUGAAGGGAGGUUCUAAGGAGACAAAUUAGUCUCUAGUUGCCUAGUAACGAGGCAUUGCCGACCAAUUGAGACUCUCCUUCCUCCGAUCACGUGGAUAGCAACCCGGAAGUGAAUUCACUUCCGCAUUAGCGACCGGUGCGAAUUUGGCGGCGGGAGUGAGUGAGGACCACCUGUG